UCGUGCGAUAUUAACACGGCAAGAUGCUAAAAAUCCUUCAAAAUUAUAUCUGGGAAUUCACAUUCAAACGCCCAGCGCGUGUUGUAGACGUCUCAAUUUGUGGUGUUGUAUUGAGUAAAUUCUACUUGAAUGAUUUAAAACUGGCUCAACCAUUUCUAUUGUUCAUGUAUUACAUAAACCCUAUAUUUGUAGUAUGUGGCAUGAUUGGUUACAAUGCUAAUAUGUUAAUCGAUGGUAAAGAAUUUAAAGAUUCCGCCCCAAGUCUUGCGGUUAUGUUGACAUAUGUAACGGGAAUAUUCAUGAUAAUGUGCUUUCGACUUCAAAAAAAUGGGGCCAAAAGCAUUUACCAUAUGCUGGAUACAAAUUCUACUAUUUGAUGGACAUUGGAAACAGCCCGUGGCACUAUGUAGUGGAAUUACUGCAACUACUUGAAUUGAUCUUCGGGGUAAUUUUGAUUUGGAGUUUGAUUUCUUGCUUUUUCUGUUUUAUAUGUUUUCUGGAGUUUAACUGCUUGGAGAUAGAGCAGGAAUUAGCUGCUUUAAAAUACGAAUUAAACAUUGCGCGACGACAUCGCAAUCUUGCACAUAUCGUUGGCCACCAUUGCUUUGUGAUCUUGUUCUGGAAACGAAUUUGCGAUCUUUUUCAAUAUCCACUUUUUGGCAUCUUGAUUGUUGCCGGUGUAAACAUUGGUCUUAUUGGCAUCGCAUUAUUAAUUGUAAAUUAAAAUGAAGUUCAGUUCAUUCUGGUUGGAUUAUUGUUGAUGAUUGGGGUGAUUGGAUUUACCGGCGCAACCAUAGUUUGUCGUUUAGAAAAUAGCUGUGAACAGCUCCAAUAUGCAACCUUUCAUUGUAUUCCUUGGGACGGUGAUUUAGUCACUGCGAGAAAUUUGCAGUUGAUGAAUUUGUACACGAAAAAGAAUUUCACUAUUGUUUUGGCCGGGUUUACCCAUUUUUCAAAUGAAAAUUUAGUGCAGGUUGGUAAAGCAGCAUAUUCUUGCCUUACUUUCUACAAACACACAUUGAAAUAAUUAAUUGGGUAUUUACAUGAUACUGAUUUAGAUCUACAAAUGUAAUUAAUCAGUUCUCUAAUUAGCAUAAAGUUGAAAUUUGUUUAAAAACG